UCCUACGGGGGGCUGCAGUGGGGAAUAUUGGACAAUGGGCGAAAGCCUGAUCCAGCAAUGCCGCGUGAGUGAUGAAGGCCCUAGGGUUGUAAAGCUCUUUUACCCGGGAUGAUAAUGACAGUACCGGGAGAAUAAGCUCCGGCUAACUCCGUGCCAGCAGCCGCGGUACUACGGAGGGAGCUAGCGUUGUUCGGAAUUACUGGGCGUAAAGCGCACGUAGGCGGCUUUGUAAGUUAGGGGUGAAAGCCCGGAGCUCAACUCCGGAAUUGCCUUUAAGACUGCAUCGCUUGAAUCCAGGAGAGGUGAGUGGAAUUCCGAGUGUAGAGGUGAAAUUCGUAGAUAUUCGGAAGAACACCAGUGGCGAAGGCGGCUCACUGGACUGGUAUUGACGCUGAGGUGCGAAAGCGUGGGGAGCAAACAGGAUUAGAUACCCUAGUAGUC
rnacentral:rRNA from 1 species